UCCCUCCCCCUCACUGCA
rnacentral:miRNA from 1 species